rnacentral:rRNA from 1 species
AACGAACGCUGGCGGCGUGGAUAAGGCAUGCAAGUCGAGCGGGACAAUCAGGGUAGCAAUAUUCUGGUUGUUCAGCGGCGCAAGGGUGCGUAACACGUGGGUAAUUUGCCAUGAAGUCUGGAAUAACUUGCUGAAAGGCGAGCUAAUGCCGGAUGUGACUUCCGAGGGGCAUCUCUUGGAAUUCAAAGCUGGAACCGUAAGGUCUGGCGCUUCUUGAUAAGCCCGCGGUCUAUCAGCUAGUUGGUGAGGUAACGGCUCACCAAGGCUAAGACGGAUAGCUGGUCUGAGAGGACGACCAGCCACGCUGGAACUGAGACACGGUCCAGACACCUACGGGUGGCAGCAGUCGAGAAUUUUUCACAAUGGGCGAAAGCCUGAUGGAGCGACGCCGCGUGGGGGAUGAAUGGCUUCGGCCCGUAAACCCCUGUCAUUUGCGAACAAACCUUACCGGUUAAUACCCGGUGAGCUGAUUGUAGCGGAAGAGGAAGGGACGGCUAA